AUGUAUAUAAUUGUUAUUUGUUGUCGUGCGGUGUUUGUAAUUAUAUGUUCCUAAUUGGCUACCGUACGGGAGUGUGUGACCAGGUAGGUGCGAGGUCAUAAUGAGUUAAAGUCUCGGACCGCGAUUUACGGGUGUUUUACCCUAUUUAUACUGCGUUAGCAGUGGAAUUUAUAUCAGGCACAGAUGUCAGACUGUGCUCCAUGUGAGGGUCACACCAGCAUAUGAACCCCUACCAGGGCCUAUACCAUCGCCAGGGAAUGCCGGCGCCAGGACCAUCAGACAGGAUGGUCAGCCAUCAUUACAUCCCGAGCGCCAGGACAGGUCAGGAGGUACAGGAGUGAUUUAAACACUGACAAGCUUGAGGAGGUUUGUGCUCCAGAAGUGCUACAGUGUCAGUGUUUGGAUGUGUCACAUAAGGUGUUUGUGUAACCAACGUGCUUAGUGUUGUUGGUUGUUGGUAUCCUGUGUGGAAACCUUAACUUGUAUUCUGACUACGGUUGGAAAUACGUCAUGUGUAAUGGACUGGCACAGUUAUAGCUACAGCUACAGAUAUACCGCACAUGUUUGAUGCGCGUUUGUGGAUUUGAUUGACCAUUGUUUUGGAGCAGAGACUUUAAUUUAGUGAAUCUAAAUUUGUGUGGAAAUGGCUGAGAGUGAGUGUGUUUUUUUGUUUUGUUGUAAAUAAAUUGUUAAUUUU